AUACGUAGGGGGCGAGCGUUGUCCGGAAUUACUGGGCGUAAAGGGUGCGUAGGCGGAAUGUCAAGUCAGAUGUGAAAUACCCGGGCUUAACCCGGGGGCUGCAUUUGAAACUGACAUCCUUGAGUGCAGGAGAGGCAAGUGGAAUUCCUAGUGUAGCGGUGAAAUGCGUAGAUAUUAGGAGGAACACCGGUGGCGAAGGCGACUUGCUGGACUGUAACUGACGCUGAGGCACGAAAGCGUGGGGAGCAAACAGGAUUAGAUACCCUGGUAGUCCACGCCGUAAACGAUGGAUACUAGGUGUGGGGUCCGAUAGGAUUCCGUGCCGCAGCAAACGCAAUAAGUAUCCCGCCUGGGGAGUACGAUCGCAAGGUUGAAACUCAAAGGAAUUGACGGGG
rnacentral:rRNA from 1 species